rnacentral:miRNA from 2 species
UGAAGAGACUGUGCAGGUCUGU